UACGUAAAAAAACGAUUUCAGUGGAACGUAUUGAGUAAAUAAUAACUUUUGAGAACGAAAUUAAACUUAAUUUACAAGAAUUUUCCUAUAAACAAUUUUAUUAGUAAUAAAUAGAUUAAGUUUAUGAGCAGCUUAAAUUUUACGAAUGACUUCAAUCUGGCAACGCCGGUCCUGCUAGUCGUUUGCAAUCGAAGGAUCCGCACGUCCUCCCGUCGGUUGCAUCGAUUUUUUAAAUUUUCUGACGAAAAAGUGCAUUUAAUGUACACAAUUUAUGCGUAAUCUGUUACUAGUGCCCUGCUUAGCCUCCUGAAAAAGCGCGUUAUAUUAAUACUACAACACCACACACUCCUUCCCCACUCACACGAGCAUUGCUAGCUCUCUGUGUUGGUUAAUAAAAUUUCCUAAUUCAACAUUAGUGAAUUUCGUUAGCCGAUGCAGUUGGUUAACAGUGUUUUUGUCGGUGUGGAUCCCCGGCUUAAGAUGGCUCCAGAGCGCGGCGCGGCCUUCCCCAAGAGAGGAGACUUCUUGGGUCGCCCCCUAACCCUGAUGUUCGGGCAUCGAUGACCUGUGUAGCAUGCAGAGGUACCCAAGGGAGUCACCACCCUCUGAUUUACGAGCUAGGUGUUCUAAU